rnacentral:lncRNA from 1 species
AUUGUGCAAGCAAUAUAUCCCGGCUUCUCUCGGUAGUCUAUCCUUGCACAAAGUAGAACAAACAAUCCAAUGUACCAGGGGAUGGCCCCAAGGAAGAAACCAAUGAUAAACCUUCAAAGAAGUAUACUCCUCUUAUAGAUAGAGAAUCAUAAACUACUUCAAUAGUAGCUAGGAGUUCAGAAAACAAUAACCAAUACAAUAAUAAAUAUAAUGCUGAUUUGUAUAAAAAUACAUGUCACAUGGAUUGUGCACCAGAUUCAGGCUUUGGGUACAUAUUGAAGUGUCAAUUGAAAUUUGGGGUGUAUAGCACCUGUCAUAACAUUUAUUCCUCUCAAGCUUCAUUUUCCUUAACACAGAUACAGGAUUUUGGUGCACCAAAUAUAUCAAAAAACUUGGAAAAGUUUCAGCAUUCCCAUGUCAUAAACAUACCCUGUUUUUCUUUUUCUUGUAAUUAACAACAAGCAUCCACUGUACCAAUCUCCUUAUUAAAAGAGUUUUUCAUAGUCCCACGAAAUGCGAUGCUCUAAGUCAUAGCUAUUAUCACAGCAUUUUACAAAAUUGUCUUCCAAUGUGACAGGAGAUCUCCAGUCAAAUAGUAGACAUAUUAAUUUCCCAUUUGUCCAACCUAUACGUUUCCUCUCUGUCUUUUGUUAUCUUCGUCGAGUUUUUUAUUAACCCACAACAAUUGGAUUUAGAGGAAAAUAAUUUGUUUAAAUUGACAGUGUAACGAUAUAUUCAUUAAGUUGUUAUUUUGUUUAAAAUUAUAGUUCAAAAAAUUUUAAAAACAAUAGCUAUAUAUGACUUACAAGAACCAUCCAAAACCAAUGCCACAGCAUGGUAGACGACGCUCUCUUACAGGUCUUCCUUCAGCAACAGCAUAACCU